CAUUACAGCCAUAUCACCCUGCAACUCACAACUGGCAACCCACUGAAGCUAAGCAGGUGUGAGCCUGGUCAGUACCUGGAUGGGAGACCUCCUGGGAAAAACUAAGGUUGCUGCUGGAA
ensembl:rRNA 5S_rRNA 5S ribosomal RNA